rnacentral:rRNA from 1 species
GUCCAUGCCCUAAACGAUGUCAACUGGUUGUUGGGUCUUCACUGACUCAGUAACGAAGCUAACGCGUGAAGUUGACCGCCUGGGGAGUACGGCCGCAAGGUUGAAACUCAAAGGAAUUGACGGGGACCCCGCACAAGCGGUGGAUGAUGUGGUUUAAUUCGAUGCAACGCGAAAAACCUUACCCACCUUUGACAUGUACGGAAGUUACCAGAGAUGGUUUCGUGCUCGAAAGAGAACCGUAACACAGGUGCUGCAUGGCUGUCGU